rnacentral:rRNA from 1 species
GACGAACGCUGGCGGCGUGCUUAACACAUGCAAGUCGAGCGGUAAGGCCCUUUCGGGGGUACACGAGCGGCGAACGGGUGAGUAACACGUGGGUGACCUGCCCUCAGCUCUGGGAUAAGCCUGGGAAACCGGGUCUAAUACUGGAUAUGACUCCAUGACGCAUGCUGUGGGGUGGAAAGCCUUGUGCGGCUGAGGAUGGGCCCGCGGCCUAUCAGCUUGUUGGUGGGGGAUGGCCUACCAAGGCGACGACGGGUAGCCGGCCUGAGAGGGCGACCGGCCACACUGGACUGAGACACGGCCCAGACUCCUACGGGAGGCAGCAGUGGGGAAUCUUGCGCAAUGGGCGAAAGCCUGACGCAGCGACGCCGCGUGAGGGAUGACGGCCUGGU